CUCUGGCAGUAGCAUCCCCUCGGCCACCAAUUACUCCUCUGCUUCCUUCCACCCUGAAUACAGGCAUGAGUUGGGAAGAUGCGCUCAAAGAAGACUUUCCAAGUUACAAGAAUUAUGAUUCACUUCAGGUCAUUUUAUUCUUUAUAUUCUCUACACGUUUAAACUUGCUCAGUAAAUCGUAACAGAAGGCUUAAAGUAUUUAAAAGACAAAAUAAAAACCACAAACAGCACAAAUCAGAGCCAGCAAACAGUUGGUCCCCCAAAGAAGAAAGCCAGCAAUCGGUUCAAUAAACACACUCGAUUUAUUUUUGUAUAAAAAGGGGUUAAGUUUACAACUAAACUUUUAUAAAAAGUUUAGCAUGAUUAAGUACAUCAUUACACUUUUUGCAGAAACGUCCAUUUCUGCCACUAUACAAGAAAACUCUAAUUAAAGAGUUCACAAGGGUUCACUCAUAUAUAUAUAUUUAUAUAUAAAUAUAUACACAGCAUUCAGUCCUAGGCUUGGGUCAGAAAGGCAAUUUCUGACCCCGGACUCCCCUAAAGAACUGAACGCCGGGUCCUUCUGGUACUCACGCUCCACCUUUGGAAGAAAAGGCAAAGUCUGCUUUAAAAUGGGCAACUCCGCGUGUGAUUUUGUUUCGCUCCCCAUGUUGGGAAUAGUAUAUAAAGGAAGCCUUCCGACUAGGGAAAGGGUAUUUAAAGAGUCUCUUCAUAAAUAACUAGGUUCAGUCCAACUUGAAGAACGGGGUGGGGGGAUAAAGAGCAAUCUCGAUGAUUUUUUUUUUUCCCCUCUUUCCUCUUCUCUAUUCGUUUCUAAAGGUCCUUUCAGUUUAGUUAGCGUGGAUUCCUCCCCUCCAGGUACAGCUGAGAAAUUCAGCACCUCAAGACAAAAACCCAAAUCCUGUCGACGUAAUUCUUGUGCAAAAAAAAAAAAAAAAAGAAAAGGAAAAGAAAAACCUCCUCAGCGGAACACCGUGCGAUUCAGCCACAGAGCGCUUUGCUGUCACUCGCCAUUAGUUCUGAGGGGAACUCGGCUGCCUGUAGGGAGAGGAUGCUGAUGUCUGUGUUGAGCGUGGUCAGCGGGGUCCGGGAGGCGGCGUUCUGCCCCGGCCGCUGGUGGUGGAGGCUGACGAUGGACGGGUGCGAGUCCAGCGCGAUCUGCAGGUCCAGGAUGUAGUCGAUGACGUGCUGCAGGAUUUCCAUCUUGCUGACCUUCUUGUUCUGCGGGAUGCUGGGCACCAGCUCCUUCAGCUUGGAGUAGCAGUCGUUCAUGUUGUACAGCAGGCUCAUGGGGUCGUCCACCGGGGUCUUGCUGCGGGAGAUGCCCAGGUUGUGCUCCGAAAGGCCGUUCUUCCGCACGGACCGCACGGGGCUGAAAGCUUUCAUGCUGAAAGGCGGGCGCGGGGAGAGCGCACGGAGCCUGCGGAGCGCGCUGCCUGCCGUUCCCCUCUCGGCGCCGCCGGAGCUCGCACUGAGGCGCGGGGCUGCGCGGGCCCUUUAUAACCGCCGCCGCCGCGCCCGGCCCGUGCGCGCCGCCAUUGGCCGCCGCCCGCCCGUCCGUCAGCCGCGGGGCGCGCUCACUGGCGCGGAG
rnacentral:lncRNA from 1 species